UAGGGAAUCUUCGGCAAUGGGGGGAACCCUGACCGGGCAACGCCGCGUGAGUGAAGAAGGUUUUCGGAUCGUAAAGCUCUGUUGUUAAGGAAGAACGAGUGUGAGAAUGGAAAGUUCAUGCUGUGACGGUACUUAACCAGAAAGGGACGGCUAACUACGUGCCAGCAGCCGCGGUAAUACGUAGGUCCCGAGCGUUGUCCGGAUUUAUUGGGCGUAAAGCGAGCGCAGGCGGUUAGAAAAGUCUGAAGUGAAAGGCAGUGGCUCAACCAUUGUAGGCUUUGGAAACUGUUUAACUUGAGUGCAGAAGGGGAGAGUGGAAUUCCAUGUGUAGCGGUGAAAUGCGUAGAUAUAUGGAGGAACACCGGUGGCGAAAGCGGCUCUCUGGUCUGUAACUGACGCUGAGGCUCGAAAGCGUGGGGAGCGAACAGG
rnacentral:rRNA from 1 species